GACCACAGGCCAGAAGCAAGCUCUUAUCGUCCGCCUGCCCUGCAGAGCUACGCACAAUCCUGCGAUCUGAUCAGUGGCUAAUUCUCAUCAGAAUCCCCAGGAAUGGAGGGGAAACCCCAAAUCAAAGCAAACAAUGACUCCAAGAGAAAUACCUGCUAAACAUCUGAGACAGGCCGGGCAUGGACCAGGCUGCUCUUGGAGAUCUGAGCUCCGCCUUCCUGAAGGAGGAGGUACACAAGGUUCAGCUUUCAGGCUCUGCCCAUGAGGAAUCUUAAAGACCACCCACUCUUAAAUUCCCACUUCCCACCCCGGACCUGCGGCAAGGAGGAGGAAGAGCCUGGAGCUGCCCUUGUCUUUGUAAGAGCCUAACAGAAACCAAACCUUUCUCCAUGUGAAGGCUACACAGGCUUAACUGAAAUGUCAGAUUCUUUGCUGGAACUUUAACGGGGAACGUGGUAAAUAUACAUUUCAGCAAUUGUUAAUUCAGGAUUCUGUUUCAUGUGAAAUCAGACCAUGAGAGCUGGCCCGGAAGCUCUGGCUAGAUUGUUUUCCUACCAAACCAGCUUACGAGUCCAUAAUUAUUGGAUGAGUGUUAUCUGAUGGCCCUGAAACGUUCAAACAUUUGGACAUGGAGUGUGGGGAGAGAGAGAGAGAGAGAGAGAGAGAGAGAGAGAGAGAGAGAGAGAGAAGGAGAGGGGAUAGAGAGCUGGGAUAAUCCAAAGGCACAAUGUAACUAGGCCUGAUGAUGACAUAGUCCUAUAAUAAUCCCGGCUACUCAGGAAGCUGAGGCAGGAGGAUUUCAUGUUCAAAGCCUGACUGGGCAAUUGAGUGAGAUCUUGUCUCAAAAACAAAGAGCUGAAGAGAUGUGUAUGUUGGGUAAUUCCUCCAAGCCCAGCAUUUGGAGGCGGGAGGAUCAGGAGUUCAAAUCAUCCUCUUAGUAUAUAACCAGUUCGAGGUCAACCUUGCCUACAUAAGACCCUAGCAAGCAAACAAUCAAAACAACAACAACAAUAGCAAAGGAGAGAGCUGGGAAUAGAGCUCUUUGGUAGAGCUCUUGUCCAGCAAGUCUGAGGCCCUCAGGUCAAUACCCAGUACAGAAAAAGAAAAACUGUCCUUUUUUCAUAAAUGAGACGUAAAGUGGGUGACAAAGUUAGGCAGGGGUCCCCUAGCAAAAGUGGGCCAUAUCCCAGGGGUCUUGAGCCCUGGCUCUGGGCUGUGGAGGAGAUUGAGGAAAAGGAAGAGUUAACUAAUUUUGUAUUUUCAGGCUGUGGCCCAGAACCAACUGGGAGAUAAGAGAGAGGGAGCCCUGGGAACACACAGCCUGUGACUGGAGAGAUUGAGCAAGGCAGGAAAGCAGGUGCAGGUGACAACAGAGAAUGGGGGAGUGUGACACAGAGUGACAACCAGAGCCAGGCAGAAGGGGGCUCCCGGGAACCGCCCCCCUCCCCCACAGAAGGGACUCCCGGGAACCAUCCCCCCCAGACAGAAGGGGCUCCCGGGAACCAUCCCCCCAGACAGAAGGGGCUCCCGGGAACCAUCCCCCCCACAGAAGGGGCUCCCGGGAACCAUCCCCCCCCACAGAAGGGGCUCCCGGGAACCAUCCCCCCCAAGACAGAAGGGGCUCCUGGGAACCAUCGCCCCCAGACAGAAGGGGCUCCCAGGAACUGCCCUCCCAGACAGAAGGGGCUCCCAGGAACCAUCUCCCCCCAGACAGAAGGGGCUCCCGGAAACCAUCCCCCCCACUCCCGGGACUCCAUGUGGCCAGACACCUGCUGGGCCAGACUCUACAGGGUCCUCUGAAGUUCUCUCUGUGGUCAGGAGGGUCCUGAAGGGAGAAAGCUUGGCCUCAGCUGGCUCUGGCCCACACCUGGGGUCAGGGCUGCCUCUUGCCUAGACUUCUGGUCUUUCUUCACAUUCCCCACCCAUUUCCUCUCCUCGUGGGCUGUUCCUCUGUUUCUUCAGAACCAGCUCUUGCUAGCAGUUCUGCCCAAGUUCUGGGAGCCUGACUGUGUGGAGGAAAGAGCACCAGGCCAAGAGUUCAAAGUCCAGGGCUGAGCCUUCCUGGCCCUCUCUGGGGGGCAGCAAAGUCAGCCCGGCUCAGAGUAAAGGUCUCAGUGACUAGACAGGCUUCUGUCCACUGCAAACUGCUUUGCCAGCCAGGGCUCCUGGCUGAGGAUGGGAUGGCUCAGGGCUGCCUCUCUCCGUCGUCUCCCACUGCUCUCCCAGCGGGACUAUGGGCACCUGUCCCCAGGCCCUCUCUCGUCUUGCUUAGGCAGUAAGCUGCCACCUGUGUGAGGGGUGGCUGGGCAUGCUGCCCAGAGCUAAGGAGAGCCUGCCCCUGGGGACUGGCCCAGGCCUUCUUGUUCAGCCAGAAAUUCCAGCCUUUGAAGGAUCCGGGUGGAGAAGGGGCCUUUUCCAGGUUGCCUUUCCAGAUCUGUUUUUCCAGCCUGGCAUUAUCGCCCAGCCUCGAGGGAGACGUCCCUGGUCUUUGGUUGGGUUUUCUGGAAAGGAGUUGGCCUGAGCCACCCUGAUGUGGGGAGGCUCUGUCCCCCUCACCCAGGUUUUUGGGAAGGACAGAUCUGUGGUGGGUUGGAGCCCACUACGUAGUCCCCGAUGACACUGAACUUGGGGUAAGCCUCCAGGCUCAGCCCCCCCCCCCAAGUUCUGGGAUUACAGGUGUGUGCCACCACCACCUGUUUAGGAAUACUUUUUUGACUCAGCUUCCUUGAGGUCUGAUUUACAUUUAUGUAUCCAUUUGAGGCAUACUGACCAAUGACAGAUACACGUGUUUGUGUACAUGCAUGUGAAUCAGGUGCAGAGCAUUUUUACCACCCUGCAGGCUUCCCUCAAUGUCCCCUCCUCAGUCAGUAACUCGCACCCCCCACACCUCCAACCCCCACUCCCCCGGCAACCAGGUUCACUACGGAUCAGCUCCUGUGUCCCAUGUUUACCAUGGUGCACCUGGGAACCAUCCACAGCAUUGCAUCUAUCAGCAGCUCUUUAGUGGUAGAGUAAUAUUCCACCGGAUGGUCCUAUCGAAUUUGUUUAUCCAUUCACCUGGGUUUAGAUAUUCUGGUUGUUUCUGGUUUGUAGUGAAUAAAAUGCCUAUGAACUUUUGCAUAUGAACCUUUGUGCAUGAACAUGUUGUGUUAGUAACAAAAAUAGGGUAGCUAAAUCCUAUGUUUAUGGUAUGUUUAUGGUUCCUCUCUCUCUCUCUCUCUCUCUCUCUCUCUCUCUUUCUGUGUGUGUGUGUGUGUGUGUGUGUGUGUCUGUCUGUCUGUCUGUCUGUCUCUUUCUCUGUCUCUCUGUCUUCUCUCAGGAUCAAACCAGAACCUCACACUCACCCACAGCCCUUGGUGCUUUUUUGUUCGUUUGUGUUUGUUUGUUUGUUUGUUUUUUCAAGACAGGGUUUCUCUGUGUAGCCCUG